CUCUGUCCUCCUUUCCUUCCUAUCCUCUCUUUCUCCCCUCCUCCUCCUCCUCUCUCUGGCUGUAUCCUCCAUGGAGAUGCAUGGCUGCUUUCUUGACAGCCUCCUCUCCACGUGUCUGCUUGUGUGCAAAUGUGUGUGUGUGUGUGUGUGUGUGUGUGUGUGUGUGUGUGUGUGUGUGUGUGUGUGUGUCAUACAUGUAGCCCCUCACUAAGGUUUAAUGAAGCUAACCUCUGUUCCGUCACCAUAGCAGCAGAUUACAAUGAAUGUUGCCACGGUAACUAGUAACAGUCGCCCUGUGCCCAUAGUUUGCCGUAAGUUUGUAGUCUCAUCUGAGAGUUUCUGAUGGAACAUUUGAAUUAAACAGGAAAGAAAAGAGGGAAUAUUAUAAUAAUUCUGUCAGUACGAUUUUUAUUAUGGUCUACAAAAGUUUUUUUUUUCUUAUCUUAAUUGAACACAACAUGUCAGGAUGAUCAAAUAGGAAAAGUCCAAACAGGCAGCCCGAACUGUUCAAGUUAGACUGAAUUUCUGAGACUUGUUUAUCCAGAUUGUCCUCCGCGAAUAAACGGCCGUAUACUGUAGGUUGUCUUUGCAAGCAGCUUAUUAUGACCCAUAUUUACGUUUGGUGUUAGGCCGCGACCUCUAGUGGCCGUAGUAAUUAAAGGAGGAAGUCAGGUGAUGUAGUAUAAAGAGAGACAAAGUCCACGUAAGGAGGUCGGAGUGGACGGACGGACCCAGGAGACUGUUACUUGUGUCCCGUGUUGACUUUUUUAAACUUGCGUACGUAUGUAACCUAAGUUACUUAACAAACGUAUUCAUUUGAACCCAAACUAUGAUCUUUUCCUAAACCUAACCAAGUAGACUUGUUUCAAUUCACAACGUUAACCACCCGUUUUAAAUUGCAACCAUUUCACAACGUGCGCCUGUCGCUGGUACUC